AUGGAGCGGCCGCGGAGCAUUCCGCGGUACAGCGCCUCCCGAUUCGCCGGCAUCGCGGCGCCCCUGCAGGACGGCUCGGGCGCCGCCUCCUCCUCCGGCGCCGAGCGGGCUGGGCCGUGGUCAACGACGUCGGCGGCGAAGCGCACCCGCUUCAUGCUCCCGCGCCGCGCCUUCUCUCGCUUCCGCUUCUCUGCACGCACAAAGAAAGAAAGAAACAGGGGACAUAACCACGUAAGAACAAAGAACUGCGCAGUGCGGGUGCGGAUGAAUGAAGUAACGAACGGCAGGGCUGUGGAGGUGCUGCACCACUCACCGGAGGAGGAGAUGCAGGGGCGGAGCCGAGCAGGAGACGGGGACGUGGCGGCAGCGUCGGAGGAGACGAGGUGGUGGUCCGUCUGCUUGGCGCGGCAGAGCGAGAAGAGGACGAGGGUGCCGGAGAGCGCCAUGGCGGUGGCGGCGAGGGCGAGGCCGGCGUGGGAGCCGCCCAGCGCGGAGCCCGCCCCCGCCGAGGACGAAGACGACGACGACAUGGCACAGUGCGGCGCAGAUCACAGGCUCCCGUGGGAGGCCGCGGUGGGGAGGCGGAGAGCAGAGGCCCGACGACGGCGACUAUCGUGGCUCGAGGUUGUUGAGUCCUGA
rnacentral:rRNA from 1 species